rnacentral:rRNA from 1 species
AACGAACGCUGGCGGCAUGCCUAACACAUGCAAGUCGAACGAGACCUUCGGGUCUAGUGGCGCACGGGUGUGUCACGCGUGGGAACCUGCCCUUAGGUUUGGAAUAACUCCCCGACAGGGGUGCUAACACCGGAUAAUGUCUUCUGACCAAAGAUUUAUCGCCCUUGGAUGGGCCCGCGUUGGAUUAGCUUGUUGGUAGGGUAAAAGCCUACCAAGGCGACGAUCCAUAGCUGGUAUGAGAGGAUGAUCAGCCACACUGGGACUGAGACACGGCCCGGACUCUUACGGGAGGCAGGAGUGGGGAAUAUUGGAACAUGGGCGAAGGCCUGAUGGAGCAAUGCCGGGUGAGUGAUGAAGGCCUUAGGGUAGUAAAGCUCUUUUACCCGGGAUGAUAAUGACAGUACCGGGAGAAUAAGCUCCGGCUAACUCCGUG